AAUACGGAGGGUGCAAGCGUUACUCGGAAUCACUGGGCGUAAAGGGCGCGUAGGCGGAUUAUCAAGUCUCUUGUGAAAUCUAAUGGCUUAACCAUUAAACUGCUUGGGAAACUGAUAGUCUAGAGUGAGGGAGAGGCAGAUGGAAUUGGUGGUGUAGGGGUAAAAUCCGUAGAUAUCACCAAGAAUACCCAUUGCGAAGGCGAUCUGCUGGAACUCAACUGACGCUAAGGCGCGAAAGCGUGGGGAGCAAACAGGAUUAGAUACCCUGGUAGUCCACGCCCUAAACGAUGUACACUAGUUGUUGGGGUGCUAGUCAUCUCAGUAAUGCAGCUAACGCAUUAAGUGUACCGCCUGGGGAGUACGGUCGCAAGAUUAAAACUCAAAGGAAUAGACGGGGACCCGCACAAGCGGUGGAGCAUGUGGUUUAAUUCGAAGAUACGCGAAGAACCUUACCUGGGCUUGAUAUCCUAAAGAACCUUUUAGAGAUAAGAGGGUGCUAGCUUGCUAGAACUUAGAGACAGGUGCUGCACGGCUGUCGUCAGCUCGUGUCGUGAGAUGUUGGGUUAAGUCCCGCAACGAGCGCAACCCACGUAUUUAGUUGCUAACGGUUCGGCCGAGCACUCUAAAUAGACUGCCUUCGUAAGGAGGAGGAAGGUGUGGACGACGUCAAGUCAUCAUGGCCCUUAUGCCCAGGGCGACACACGUGCUACAAUGGCAUAUACAAUGAGACGCAAUACCGCGAGGUGGAGCAAAUCUAUAAAAUAUGUCCCAGUUCGGAUUGUUCUCUGCAACUCGAGAGCAUGAAGCCGGAAUCGCUAGUAAUCGUAGAUCAGCCAUGCUACGGUGAAUACGUUCCCGGGUCUUGUACUCACCGCCCGUCACACCAUGGGAGUUGAUUUCACUCGAAGCCGGAAUACUAAACUAGUUACCGUCCACAGUGGAAUCAGCGACUGGGGUGAAGUCGUAACAAGGUAACCGUAGGAGAACCUGCGGUUGGAUCACCUCCUUUCUAGAG
rnacentral:rRNA from 1 species